GUUAUCUCAGAACACGACACCGCUUCUCUACGGUGAAACCGCUCCCGAUCUCGCUCCGAUCUCCUUCACACUGCGACCUCGCUCCGAUCUCAUUCUCGCUGCAAUCUCGCUCCGGUCUUGCUCCGUUCACGAUCUCGCUCCGAUAUGGACUCGAUUCUCUUCGUUGUAUUUCUCCUUCUCUCUAUAAAUUGUUGUUCGUUUUCUAUCCCUCUCAUGGUUGUUAUUCUUCGUUGAAAUUUGAUGUUCUCCUCUGUUUCUUCUCCGAUUGUAGUGUAUGUUAAAUUUCGACACUCUAACUUAGUUCCUUUUCACUAAUUGCGCUUUGGAUUUGAACCCUAUGAAUUUCAUGUUUAGGUUUUGCAUAAAUUGAAUUCAUUAGGUUUUGCAAAAAUUGAAUUUAGGUUACUGAAUUUGUUCACCAAAUUGACAAUUAGGUUUUGCAAAAUUUGAAUUCAGGUUACUGAAUUCACUUUACUUUAUGCGAUAGAAUUAGAUGAUACUUAUUGGAUUGAUUCUAUGAUUCACAUUUCCGGUGGCUGGUAUUUAGAUGAUACAUAAUUCUUAUUCUUACAAAAAAACUUUGUGUUGAGAUAAUAAUCCCUCUGUAUAUUGAUUGUCACUUUCUUUAUAUAUGUUCAUAAUGAUUGCCUUUUUUCUAGUGUAGGUGAUUUGUGAUAUGGUUUAGUAAGUUAACAAAUGCAGCUUUUUUUCAUAGUUUAUUCAUAUAAACCUUAGCAGCUAUGUCUUUUGAUAAAAAAUGAAUUGAAAGUUAGACGAAAGUCUUACAUAGCUUAGAGGUAUGCAUGCCUUAGUAUGAAUAUACUUAUGUAGUUAUAACUUAUGACAGUAUAUAGAUAGCUAUCCAAUGUGUAAUUUUCAGCGUUCAAAAUAACACUUCUACAGUCAAGUCUUCAUUGCAAACUACUUUAUAGCUAUACUUAUUGUGAAGGGGUUAUUUAUAUUUGAUGGAUUGUAAUGAGUAGUGUACGGUGCCUGUAGUCUUUGAUACUUUCAAUUUGAAAUUUGAGUUUCUUUUGUUUUUGUAUGCUUAAUUACUGUUUGGCAAAUAAGCAUGUGAAAAUGCAUUGCGGUGCAUUGGUAAUAAUGAUGUUCAAAAGCUUGGAAGAAGUGUUUUUCCUGAAAAUUUGAAGGCUACUACUAUCAGCGAGAUUACUAGGCUCAGGAACGUUGCAAUGACAUCAAUUACUUCACGCUUUGUGGUUGAUGAACGGACUAUCCAGAUGCCGGUAAGUCUACAACAAGAGACAGAUAUUUUACUUCAGUGGUCAGAUACCAAAGUAGAGAAAGCUGCAGAUAUUGUGGCUUCAAGUUUUCCUUUACAAUAGCUCAAAAUGGUGGCAUAAUUUUGUUGGAAUGCGAUCAUAUCAGAUGCAGGUUGACCUUCUACUGGAGGUUCUUAAUAUUGUGUCUGGUUUUGGUCCAACUUCUGGUUCAGCUCUUACCAGCCAUAUGGAUGUUGACAAGGGUAGGUUGCUUAAUUUGUAUCUGUUAUUGAUCUAGCGAGGAAUCCGUCAAGAUUCUUCUCCAAAGACUCUGGAUAUUGUCAAUCUACUGCAUAAUAAUACUGAACCAUUCUGCCUCCACGUCGCAGAAAGGAAGUUGAUUUGGUUAAGGACGACAUCAAAAUCAUAGACAUCCCUGUGCACUUGGUUAAGGUAUAUUCAACAAUGGAGUUUCUUUAUGAUGUUUUUGUGUGUGUCUGUAUUCAGCAAUGGAGUUCAUUUAUGACUUGGGUCAAUUCAUGGAAAGGGGGACAUAUUGGUACUUCCUUUAACACUUAAAAUCUUUGAAAAUUUCCAAGUAUAACAUGCAUAUUUGCUUCAUUUAAUUUAGCUUUUUUCAAAUUUGUAACGGAUGAUAAUUAAUUUAUAAUUAGCUCUGUUUUGGGCAUGGCUUCAUAAUUAGCAUUUUAUAAUUAUAAUUUUUUUUUCUAAAAAGCUUGAAUUUAGCUUCGAAAUCGCUAGGAAACAUAAAUUUUUUAACAAUAUUUAACUAUGUAUUUAUUGGGAAUUAGCUAGGAUUCUCAAUAUAUUAGUUGCA